rnacentral:snRNA from 1 species
AAAAAAGGCUUCUGUCGUGAGUGGCACACAUAGGGUAAUUUGCUUGCUCUUCAUGCAGAAUGGACAGCCAAAAAUUUUGGAAUCAUCAUUUUUGUUGCUCAGACAGCUGGUGAUCAUUGGUCCAUGAGCCCUA